rnacentral:lncRNA from 1 species
UCUCAUCUCAACAUAGCAGUAUGUUGUAUAAUCAGGGGUUUCAAACCCUCAGUGCAUCAUUUAAAAUCAUUACUCACCUCGAACCGGUGAAAUCUAUAGCUUGCAACGCCUUUGCCCCUCAAAUCGGCCUCCACGCGCGUUGAAUCUAACCAAAAUCAGAGCGAAUACAUCACAAUAUGCUAAGGGAACAAUACCCAAUCGAAAAUACUCGAAAAACGCUAAAAAUUACGAAGUUGGCAAAACCCGAGCCCCGGGCUCACUUCUCGAAAAAUUACGAAAGUCACAUCACCGGAUUCCUCGUCUCGCCACGAGUCCGUACAUAUAAAAUUUACCAAAAUCGGAGUUUAAAUGACCCCUCAAAUCUUCAAAUCUUAUUUUCAAAUCCCUAGGUCCAAAAUCCCCAAUUUACACCUCAAAAACAUGUAAUCUAGUCGGAUUAUUCGAAGAUAAUUCAAUAUUAUGGAGUAGAAAUAAUCACAAGUGACUUACCUCAAGAUUUCUCAUGAUUUCUUGCUCAAAAAUCGCCCCAAACCGUGUUAUUUCGCAAGAAAAUAGGUAAAAAAAAAUGAGCAGAAACGCAGCAGCUUUU